GACCCAUGUGGGACUCGAACCCACAACCCCUCAGCUUGUUGAGCUGAGGGGUUGUGGGUUCGAGUCCCACAUGGGUCA